CAGGUAGGGUGACUCCCAGUUUUCCCACUGAAAGUGCUGCGUCACAGGAAACCCUCCGUCCUGGGCAAACCAGGGCAGUCGGUCACCCCACCUAGAGGAGUUACUUCUUAGUUCCUCUGCAGUAAAAGGAUACCGAUUCACCCCAGGUUGCUGUUUGAAGGCAAAACCAGCAUAAAGCUGGGGACCCGUUACCUUCAGUGCAACACAGACUCUGGACCCAGAUAGACUCAGUUUGAAACCUGCCUGUCGCAUUUCAUGGCUGUGUAAGCUUAGAUGAGGAAGCAGAGGCUGAUGCCAGGACCAGGCAUGCUGAUGACUAGAGAAGCCUGCAUGGAACCAGCACAGGCCUAGAGGCAGCACUAAGGCUCCUUGGCCCUUCUGCCCCCCACCUCACCCCCAUUUUGACUUGGAAUCGGCCUGGAAUCCAGAUCCCACACACCAGCAGCCUCAGAGCUGGGGGAAGCUGAGCAUGGCGUCCUGUGCAGCCCCAGCCCCUGCUGACAGAGAAGCCGCUCAUAGUAAUAGGCUCCCACUCCCCCAGGGUCCAGCCUGCAUGGUUAGGAGGGUCUGCUGAAGCGAGAAGCCCCUGAGAACGUAAUGGGGGCUGGCUGGGGGCCCCCACUUUGAAACCUGGUUCUGAUUUCCUUUUCCUUUGGAAAAGACUGCCUAUCUCUGGCGGGCAGCUUUCCCAGAUUAGCUGCUGACGUCAGGAGCUGCCAGCUGGGCCAGCCUCGCCCCGCCACAGGCGGUGUGUGAGGGCUGUCUGCUAGAUGGGGACAGUUAAGGAUGGGGCAUGUGUUUAGCUUUGGAAAUUUGUCCUCCAGGGAGUUGGACGGUGGGAAGGGAGUGUGCGGCUUUGUACUCACACAUUACGUGUGUGGCACUGUAGAGAAACAGCUCAGGGAGAUGGAGUAAUUUGCCCAAGACCACACAGCUGGUCUGACCCUGACUGCAUCCCACACCGUCCAAAAGAAACCCCUUCCUGAUGGUUGACAGUUGCGAGGCCUGGAGGGCUCGUGUCCGUGUAGGUCGGUACCUCCUACACCAUCGCCACAAUGGUAGCUGCCAUGUGCUGUGCUGAGCACCUAAGGCUGGUGUCCCGUCCACAGGUUAAGGAUGUAGUAGGUGCUCAAGACGCCACAGCUGGAAUGAGAGGGAGGCUGAGCUGGAAGGCGCUGUAAGACGCUGUAAGGAGGUGGGAGAUGAGGCACUGCCCUGAUCCCAGGCUGAGAACAGUCUGCCUGCUAUGAUUAUGGGAAUUUCAAUUUGAAAAUUUGAAACCCACCCUGGGGUUGGAUUUUAGCUUUGCUGCUGUGAUUUAGGGCAUGUUGCUUUGCUUCAAUGCUCAUCUACAAAAUGGCCAUUUAAAAAAGUCAACCUUGCCAGCCUGUCUCCAAAUUCCAAAUGCACGUCUUUCUCCUUAGAAACAAAAUUACAAACAGUUCUUGGCCCCACCAGUGACAGGGAGCCUGAGCACCUACACCAUGCAGGUGGGGAGGCAGAACAGAACAGUCUUGGUUGUAAGAAGGCAGCCCUUCUGGGCCUCGCUGAGGAAGCAGGCACCUCGGCCCCACAUAGGAGGCAGCUGAGCAAGAAGGGUGAAGACAGCGCGGAGUGGGGAGAGAGGAAGGGGGACUCCCAGGGUGCCCUGGUGAGGGUGGAGCCCUACAUUCCGCCCCACCCCCUGGACGAAAGCCCCCACGGAGCCAGGGCCAGCCCUGAACAGGGGACCUGGGGAUGCCAAUGCCGAGUGAGUCAGAAACGACAGUGCAGGUGCCCUGCAGGUGGCUGCACCCUUGUGUAUUAAUACAACUUGUCUUUUAACUGUGAAGGCCUCAUGGCCACAGAUGGAACAUUUGGCAGGAGAAAAGGGAAACUCCCAGAAUCCCACCACCAAGACCCAACUCUACCGGUCUUGUUUGGUUUUUUUUUAGAGUUGCCAUCGAGUGUAACUAGAUGAGCAGUUCCCUGUCUUUCUACCAGUUGUAAACAAUGUUGUUUGUUCAAACUGCUUUUGAUCUGAUACUUGUCCUUCCUCAAUAAACUGUGAGGUAAGCGGGUAAGAAUUAUUUCCAUCUGACAGGUGAGGAAACUGAGGCAGAGUGGUUAGGUGACUUGGCCCUAACCCGGUUGGUGAUGCAGAGGUGCCAGUGGAAACCUCAGGCUCCUAGGCCAACAUUCAUACAGAGGAAACACAGAAAGGGGGAGCGGGGGAGGACAGAAAAAACAGUCCCACAAUUCUCAUCUCAAAAUAUUUAAUUUUAUUUUGAAAAGAUUACAUUCCCGGCUUCCCUCCCUGCCACAUCACUCCGGCCCACCAGCAGUGACACACUCGCACGCGCGCGCACACACACACAUAAGGCCAAUGGGCUAUGGUCUGCUUCUGCCCUCGCCGGCUGGGAAAAAGGAAUUUUCUCCUUGCCUCCUUCCCCCAACACAGGUGAGAAAGAGGGGCCCACUGGAAUGCCAGCUCCCAGGGGAGGAUGCAGAGCCCCACACACUCUUAUCACAGCACAUGCACUUAGAAAAAUAAAACCAAGUGGUGUUCUGGCACCCCAACACCAUAAGACAGCAGUAUCCACCUGGAAAUCAUCUUUGCCAUUUUCUAGAAAAAUUUAUUGCACUUAAUUAACAGAUGUUAAAGGAGCUCUGGGGUGGGGCUUUGCCAUGGAAACCAGGGGCUCUCGGCUGUUUGUGUUCCGUGGAACCCAGCUCCCAGGGCCCCGGACGGACUGCGAGCUGCCCAGCACAAAGGUGGCUCCUCUGCUGGCUCCGCGCCUGCCCCCACUCCCCAGGCUGGAGGACUGCGGGAGCUGCUCGCCCAGGGCUACAGCAACCCCUCAGCAGAGUGAUGCUUACCCGGUCAAGGGUCACUGCUAAGUGUCCUCCCCAACCUCAGGACCCAGACAGGCAAACCUUCCUUUAACCAAGGGUAAGGGUUGGCCCGGUCCUCCACAAGGUUGCUGGCCAUCAUGAAAGCUCUCUCUCUCUCUAAAUAUAUAUAUUUCUCUAUCUAGAUACACAUUAUAUGUAUAUUCUUGCAACAUUCUAGCUCAUUCGUGAUUUGUCUGUUCUGAGGUUAUACUGAGGCUGCCAUGAAACUGAAGACAGCGUGCUCAGGAAGGGAUGGCACACCCCAGCCCAUCACAAACCUGUGGAAAGCGGUUUAUGUUGGCUUCUCUGGCCUCCAGUGCUUUUCAGUGGAUGUCAAAGACCUGAGCACAGGAGCCUCAGUCUUUGGCUGUCAGCCCCAAGAUGGAGAGUGUUAAGGAGACUCCCAAUCCCAUGAUGGAAGCUAGUGGGCACCAACCCUUCCUCCUGCAAGGACAUGAGUCUUAGGCCUGGGAAGGAGACACGCUUCCCUGAGCACUCCUUUCCCCAACAUGUCAACCUCCAUGGACAUAUCCCUGUCCCUGCCAGGCUCCCGACUCAAAGGGACUCUUCUAAAAGAGGCCAGCAGCCACACUCUUUCCAAGUAAGCACUUUGGGAAGGAACCAGACAUCCACUGCCUGGGGAUGAGGAGGGGAGGGCAUGGAGGAGGCAGUAGGUGGGACAAAGAGGAGAGACAUCAGGCCAUCAUCCCACUCACUGGGGUCAGAACUUGGACGCCAUUCAGAAAUUUAGUCUCCAUCCUUUAAAAAGAAAACAGAAAAACACAAACCCUACACUUUCUGGCCAAAGAAAAUGAAGAGCUUUUAAGCUGGAGGCUCUUCUACCAAUAACAAAAUAAGAACUGCCCUCUUGGUGGGCAGCCAGACCAGAGGGAGAAGAUGCCCGGGCGGGCGAGCUGCCCAGGGCAGGACACUCACAUGCCAGAUACAACUGCCCUGUUGUGGUUACAAUAGUGAAAAGUGUGAACAUGGUUUUUAUAGAACCACAAAGUAAAAGUCAGGGGCCUAGAGGGAGGGGGUGACCUCCCUUGGCUUCAGGGACCCUGUCAAGUCCCCCAAGAAGUGGGAGUGCAGGUCCCCGAGGGCCAUGGCAUUCCCCUGGGGUGCAGCCAUGGCCAGCAGAUGGCUUCCCCUGGUCUGAACACGGUAUAAAAAGUCUUUAGGGGUUGAAGCCCGGGUCUUGGAGCUACCGCUUUAAAUAAAGCCAGUGGUAAGCAUGACCAAGUGUGCUCAUCACCUCUGACCCCUCUUUACCACAGGCUGCCUGGCCCUGAGCCAAUACAUACACCCAGCUGCCCACAAACAGCGGAGGUCCCAUGGAUUUCCACCAUGACUCUCCAGGGCCGAGCAAAAGGACGAGUCCAGCUGGACACAAGGGAAAGCAGCUGUGAGGCAGUGAAGCCACAGCUGCGAGGAGCCCUCACACCGCGCCACAGCCAAGCUUGUGUGGUAACCACAUCUCCAGCGACCCAGACUGAGGGGACUCUAGCCCAUGUAAAUGUCCCGGCAACCUGCAAUUCCAUGAGUUGUGCUGCAACCCUGGUGACUCUUGACCAGGGUGCCCUCUGGGCAGUUUGCCCAGGGGAGGGAUUCUAAAGCGAGAACUGGAAGCCCUCUUCUGCUUUCCUCUGGCCUGGCCCGCUUUGGAGAGCACAGCAAGGAGAAAAAGAAACACAUGCACCAGCGCCCAGCCCACAGUAGGCUGUGGAGGCUGGUUUCUAAACAACACGCAGCUCCAGGAAGUUAAAUUUCCUAGAUGAGGGGGGGUUUUCCUUUUAAAUCCAAGAUCUGAGAUUGGUCACUGGGUGAAAACAAACAGCAGGCUCAGUAGAGGCCCAGUCGAGUGGGACAAACAAGAUUCAGGUGGCCUCCAUGAGUGACCCGGAGAAGCAGAGGCUG